CAAUCUUCAAAUUGUCCAGUGGGCACUGGUUGCUGGUGCAAUUGUCAUCAUUGCAGCCACCACAACUCUACUAAUAAACAAGAACAGGAAACGAAAUCACCAGAAGUCAAACGCUAUUAUAUACUAUGCCGCGCCAUUUGAAGAGAAUGAGCCGAAUAUCUACAAUGAAAUCCUACCAAUCAAUGAAGAGCUAAUAAGUCAUCCUCAACAUCAAUAUGCCGAGGCAGCCAUUUCUAUAGAAGACACAAAAACAAAUUCCUUUGACGAUUCUUCAAACGAUUCCCAACAUUAUAUGCAUGUGGAUUGAUUUCCAUCCUUCCACGAACUCUAAAAGAAACAAAAUAGCAAGAGUUUUUAUUUUUGCAUGAUACUUUAUAUGGAUUAAAGCAUUAUCAUUUCUUGCCAAUCAUGCGGAAAACUGUGU